GACGAACGCUGGCGGCGUGCUUAACACAUGCAAGUCGAACGGAAAGGCCCUGCUUUUGUGGGGUGCUCGAGUGGCGAACGGGUGAGUAACACGUGAGUAACCUGCCCUUGACUUUGGGAUAACUUCAGGAAACUGGGGCUAAUACCGGAUAGGAGCUCCUGCUGCAUGGUGGGGGUUGGAAAGUUUCGGCGGUUGGGGAUGGACUCGCGGCUUAUCAGCUUGUUGGUGGGGUAGUGGCUUACCAAGGCUUUGACGGGUAGCCGGCCUGCGAGGGUGACCGGCCACAUUGGGACUGAGAUACGGCGCAGACUGCUACGGGAGGCAGCAGUGGGGAAUAUUGCACAAUGGGCGGAAGCCUGAUGCAGCAACGCCGCGUGCGGGAUGACGGCCUUCGGGUUGUAAACCGCUUUCGCCUGUGACGAAGCGUGAGUGACGGUAAUGGGUAAAGAAGCACCGGCUAACUACGUG
rnacentral:rRNA from 1 species